rnacentral:rRNA from 1 species
CCUACGGGUGGCAGCAGUGGGGGAUAUUGCACAAUGGGGGGAACCCUGAUGCAGCGACGCCGCGUGGGUGAAGGAGCGUUUCGGCGCGUAAAGCCCUAUCGGCAGGGAAGAAGGAGGACGGUACCUGACUAAGAAGCCCCGGCUAACUACGUGCCAGCAGCCGCGGUAAUACGUAGGGGGCAAGCGUUAUCCGGAUUUACUGGGUGUAAAGGGGGCGCAGACGGCAGCGCAAGCCAGGAGUGAAAGCCCGGGGCCCAACCCCGGGACUGCUCUUGGAACUGCGCGGCUGGAGUGCAGGAGGGGCAGGCGGAAUUCCUGGUGUAGCGGUGAAAUGCGUAGAUAUCGCGCAGAACCCCGAUUGCGAAGGCAGCGUGCCGUGCCGCCACUGACGCUGAGGCACGAAAGCGCGGGGAUCGAACAGGAUUAGAUACCCUGGUAGUC